rnacentral:tRNA from 1 species
GCGAGAGUGCUGGAAUUGGCAGACAGGCACGUUUGAGGGGCGUGUGGGCUAAGCUCGUGCGGGUUCAAGUCCCGCCUCUCGCACCA